GCUGUGACGUCAUAAGGGCGGGGUGGGGAAAGUGGAAAGCAGAAGUGAGGAGGAGGAGGACGACGACGACCACCAUUUUCUAACGCCGGAGACUUCAUUUGAACGUGUGUUUCACGGGAAAUUCUUUCAAGCUAUUUCCUCGAAGAUGGGGAAUCGGGUCACCCGCGAGGACUACGAAUGGGUUUAUACUGACCAACCGCAUGCUGACAGGAGGAAAGAGAUCCUUGUGAAAUAUCCACAAAUCAAGUCUCUGAUGGGUCCUGACCUAAGGCUGAAAUGGAUUGUGUGCAUCAUGGUGGCCAUACAAUUUUUCGCUUUUUAUUUCAUCAAAGAUAUGGACUGGAAAUGGGUUUUGUUUUGGACUUAUGCCUUCGGGAGCUGCAUCAACCAUUCAAUGACACUUGCUAUCCAUGAGAUCUCCCACAAUACCGCUUUUGGAAACAACAAAGCUACGUGGAACCGAUACUUUGCAAUGUUUGCCAACCUCCCUAUUGGAUUACCCUAUUCUGCCUCAUUCAAACGCUAUCACUUAGACCACCACCGCUACCUUGGAGGAGAUGGUGUAGAUGUAGACAUCCCAACUGAUUUUGAAGGCUGGUUCUUCUGUACACGUUUCCGCAAGUUCAUCUGGAUUAUUCUGCAGCCUCUUUUCUACGCCAUUCGACCUCUUUGUAUCAACCCCAAACCCAUAACUCAUUUGGAGCUGACUAAUGUUUUUGUUCAACUCACCUUUGACAUUCUGCUCUUUUGGGUGUGGGGCGUCAAACCUGUGGUGUACAUGCUGGCUGGCUCCAUGCUGGGUAUGGGUUUACACCCCAUCUCCGGUCACUUUAUAGCAGAACACUACAUGUUCCUCAAGGGUCAUGAAACCUACUCCUACUAUGGCUCCCUCAAUCUGCUCACCUUCAAUGUAGGGUAUCACAAUGAGCACCAUGACUUCCCCAGCAUUCCAGGACGUAGGCUACCUAUGCGCUGCAAUGCCGCUGCCAUUUUGACUGUGUGCAUCGCUUCUGGGUGGUGAACGCAUGAUAGCUUCGCUGAGAUCCCCUGAAGGAGGCUUGCAUUUCGCCGAUCUCUCCAAUGACCUGCAUGGAUACCAUGGAAGCGCCACCACUGAUUCGGAAAAGGAGCCAUCACAGAAGAGGCAGACUACAGCACGGCGCGGCAGAUUUUAAUGGGAGAAAGUUGAUCCAACACAGCGUGAAGCUAGAGUGGCUAGGUAGCCAGGAGGCUAAGUCCCAGCAGGCUAGCUGGAAAGGCGACAGCUUGGUCCGGUCCGUGAGGAUUCAUGGCACCAACGAUGAGCGCUAAACAGCCCCGGGAUUCUACCUGUGGCCAAGGUGAAGAAAAUAGCAGCAGAGUAUUAUGAUGACCUUCCGCAGUAUACGUCGUGGGUGAAGGUCCUGUACGACUUCAUCAUGGAUGACACAUUAAGCCCAUACUCACGAGUCAAGAGGAAGCUGAAAGGAGAUGUCAAAC